UACGUAGGGGGCAAGCGUUGUCCGGAUUUAUUGGGCGUAAAGAGCGUGUAGGCGGCCUGGAAGGUCAGCUGUGAAAACUCGAGGCUCAACCUCGAGACGUCGGUUGAAACCACCUGGCUAGAGUCCGGAAGAGGAGUGUGGAAUUCCCGGUGUAGCGGUGGAAUGCGCAGAUAUCGGGGAGGAACACCCGUGGCGAAGGCGGCAUCCUGGACCGGCAUUGACGCUGAGGCGCGAAAGCCAGGGGGAGCCAAACGGG
rnacentral:rRNA from 1 species